UACGGAGGGUGCAAGCGUUACCCGGAAUUAUUGGGCGUAAAGCGUCUGUAGGCGGUUUGUUAAGUUGGACAUUAAAUCCUGGAGCCCAACUCCAGGGCCGUAUCCAAAACUGGCAAACUAGAGUCAUGUAGGGGCACGUAGAAUUCUGUGUGUAGGGGUAAUAUCCGUUGAUACACAGAGGAAUACCAAAAGCGAAGGCAGCGUGCUGGGCAUGUACUGACGCUCAGAGACGAAAGCGUGGGGAGCAAACAGG
rnacentral:misc_RNA from 1 species